rnacentral:rRNA from 1 species
UGGGGAAUAUUGCACAAUGGGCGCAAGCCUGAUGCAGCCAUGCCGCGUGUAUGAAGAAGGCCUUCGGGUUGUAAAGCACUUUCAGCGGGGAGGAAGGCGAUAAGGUUAAUAACCUUGUCGAUUGACGUUACCCGCAGAAGAAGCACCGGCUAACUCCGUGCCAGCAGCCGCGGUAAUACGGAGGGUGCAAGCGUUAAUCGGAAUUACUGGGCGUAAAGCGCACGCAGGCGGUCUGUCAAGUCGGAUGUGAAAUCCCCGGGCUCAACCUGGGAACUGCAUUCGAAACUGGCAGGCUAGAGUCUUGUAGAGGGGGGUAGAAUUCCAGGUGUAGCGGUGAAAUGCGUAGAGAUCUGGAGGAAUACCGGUGGCGAAGGCGGCCCCCUGGACAAAGACUGACGCUCAGGUGCGAAAGCGUGGGGAGCAAACA